rnacentral:rRNA from 1 species
CAAUAGCGUAUAUUAAAGUUGUUGCAGUUAAAAAGCUCGUAGUUGGAUUUCUGGCUUGGGUUGAUAUGUCCGCGUUCUUAAAGGAUGUGUGUACGUCUCUACCCGGUCAAAUCUUCUGGAGGUCCUUGGUGCUCUUCACUGAGUUUCCUUGGUUACGUCCAGAUCGUUUACUUUGAGAAAAUUAGAGUGUUCAAGGCAGGCAUUAGUUGCCGUGAAUAUAUUAGCAUGGAAUAAUGGAAUAGGACGUCGGGCCUAUUUUGUUGGUUCUAGGACCGUCGUAAUGAUUAAUAGGGACAGUUGGGGCCGUUUAUAUUCCGUAGUCAGAGGUGAAAUUCUUGGAUUUACGGAAGAUAAACUACUGCGAAAGCAUUCGGCAAGGAUGUUUUCGUUAA